rnacentral:rRNA from 1 species
UACGAAGGGGGCUAGCGUUGCUCGGAAUCACUGGGCGUAAAGCGCACGUAGGCGGGUCUUUAAGUCAGGGGUGAAAUCCUGGAGCUCAACUCCAGAACUGCCUUUGAUACUGAGGAGCUCGAGUCCGGGAGAGGUGAGUGGAACUCCGAGUGUAGAGGUGAAAUUCGUAGAUAUUCGGAAGAACACCAGUGGCGAAGGCGGCUCACUGGUCCGGUACUGACGCUGAGGUGCGAAAGCGUGGGGAGCAAACAGG